rnacentral:lncRNA from 1 species
CAUUGGUAAGCUGGGACUGCCUGAUUGUAGACAUUUAAGUGAUGUCUGCGUGCUUUGUAAAGAGUGCCCUUCAGCCAGCUGCCCGGCUGGUCACCCCUUCAACCAGCUCUGGUACCAAGCACUGAAAGUGUUUUCACCCUGCCAUGUAAGUAGCAUGAUCUCCAUUCUCCCUGGUAAAGCUGAGGCCGAGGGCAGUGAGGCGAGCGGCCCAAGAGGCCCACAGCAGGUGAGUAAAUCCCACCUUUGAGCUGAGAUCUGAAGUCAGGUUUAUGCAUCUUAUUGCAAAGCCCAGAUCUUCUUCAGUUCCUCGCCCUCCCCCAGGAGAAAAUGGAAAGGAAAAGCCAUUGAGAGCAGGAGGGUGAUUCCUACGAGGGGGUACAGGAGGUGGAGGUUUGAAGCAGGAGCUGCAAUAAGCAGAGUCAGAGACCCGGUGGGUUGGCUAGGAGGCUGGGUGCCAGCAGUACUGCCACACGGCCCAGGUUGGGUGAGGGGAGUAGGGUGGUGCCCGCUUGGGCUCCUGGAUGUGGGAGGGUAAAGCUGCCUGGUCCUGGAGAGGGGGGCUGUGUGUGUGAUGCUGGGGCUCCCUCCUCUAUAUGCAGCCACACCAGCAGUGCCCGUGGAAAGGGUGGCUGUGCCUGGAGUCUGGCAGAAAGGCUGGGGCCCAAGAGGAGUCCUUGAAGGAGAAAUCUCUCCUUCUGCCCUAGAUUGGAGGCUGCAGAAAGUCAUUUGGACCAAGUGGGGGCAGGAUGCCGAGGGCAGAGGAGCUGGCUCCCGUUGGUCCCCUUUCUUUCCUCAUCUCCCUUCCCUCUGAACCCCAGUCCAGGGCCCAGGAGGGCUUGGCAGCCUGUUCCUGGCCUCCCCAGCAGAGGGCUCCAGAGCAGAGCUCAGGAUGGCCAUGGGGAGGGAGCAGCAGAAAGCAUGGACAGUCCGCCCUGCUCACAGGUGUCUAGGUCACAGGUGCUCUUUACUGGUGCACAGGUGUGUCUGUCUAUGUGUGCACCCAUGUGGGUGUGUGCAAGUGUGUACAGUAGACAUAUGUUGUUGUGUGGGCAUGUCAGUGUCGGCACGCGGGCACGACUGCCUGCCUGUGUGUUGGGUGGUAUCUAUUCACAUGUGUUUGCUCAUUUUCUCUUUGCACACGCCAGCACUACUGUGGUCCUUGUGCAUAGUUGUGUGCAUGCGGGUGUCUGUAUGCUUUGUGCAUGGGUGUCUCUGGUUGGCCUUGUGCGGAGAAAGCUGAAAAAUUACUGACAAGGUGUGCUGUGGAAUCUCAUCAUUCUCGAGGACAAGGAUGAGGGACCCCCUGCUCCUUCUGUGCCAUCUGACAUUCACACCCUGACCCAGCCGCCUGACUCCUGCCCUCAAUCAACACAGCCCCUGAAUUUGUUUGUUAAAAUCUCAUUUACAGCAGGUGUAGUUGACAUCCAGUUCCCAGGAAGCAAGUACUUCCAGAGCUGUGUGUGUGUAUGUUCUGGUUCCCUCAUUUGCAGCUCGAAAAUGUUUCUUUUCCAGCAUUUCCAUUGUGGCUCAGAGAGUUAAGAACCCAACUAGUAUCCAUGAAGAUGUGAGUUCGAUCCCUGCCCUUGCUCAUUGGGUUAAGGAUCCGGUGUUGCUACAAGCUGCAGCAUAGAUCACAGAGGAAGCUCGGAUAUGGCUUUGCUGUGACCGUGCUAUAGGCCAGCAGCUGCAGCUCCCAUUCAGCCCCUAGCCUGGGAACCUCCGUAUGGUGCAGGUACAGUCCUGAAAAGCAGAAACAGAAAAUGCUCUUCUUCUUGUUGGGAAUGAGGAGCAGAGCCCCAGAGAAUGCGGGGAAGGUAGAGGGCUGCAGUGGAGAAACAGCAGGCUGGUAGCUGGUUCAUCCAUAGCUGAAGGGAGGCAGCGGCCAUGGGGGCAAGGUCUUGGCCCAGAAGUCUGGGGGGCCCUGGACGGGGCCCAGCUCUGCUACCAGCUGGAGGCCCUGGCUGAUGGGAAGCAGCCCCUCCUGUGGUGGUCUGUGCUGCUGUUCAGCCAGGGCCAUUGGGGAGAACAAAUGGGGUACUCCCCUCACCCUGUGUCGUGUGGAAAAGGCACUUGUCGAAGGGAGUGCGGUCGAGGAUGGCGCCCACCUCAGGAUGGGAGGCUGUAUUGGUUUCCUGUCGCUCCUGUGACAGCUCACCACGAACUUAGUGGUUUAAAAUAAUCCGCAUUUAUUUUACAAUCCUGGGGACCACAAGUCCAAAAUCAGCCUCACCAAGCUAAAGUCAAGGGAUUGGCAGUGCUGUGUGCCUUUUGGAGGCUCUAGGGGAAAUGGGUCUCCUUGCCUUUUCCAGAUUCUAGAAGCUGCCUGCAUCCCUUGGCUUGGGGCCCCUUCCUCCUUCGUGCUGUCACAUCGCCUUUCUAUUGCUUUGGCCUCUUGCCUCCCUCUGGGAAGGACCCUGGUGAUUACCCUGGACCCUCCCAGAUAAUCCAGGACAGUCUCCUCAUCUCAAGCUCCUUGACAUGAUCACAUCUGCCAAGUCCUUUUGGCUGUGAGGUUAACAUUUGUUCACAGGUUCUGGGGAGUAGAUAUGUGGGCCUCUUUUGGGGCCACUGUUUUGUCUACUACCUAGAGAAAUCACAGACAAGCUGGCCAAAGUGGGUAACAGUCUUUUUAAAUUUUUUAUUGGAAUAUGGGCUGACUUACAAAAUUGUGUUAAUUUCAGGUGUACGACAAAGUAAAUCAAUUACACAUAUACAUAUAUCCGUUCCUUUUGACAUUCCUUUUUUUUUUCUCUUCUUUUUUAGGGCAGCCCCUGGGGCAUAUGGACGUGCCCAGGUUACUGGUUGAAUCAGAGCUAUAGCUGCUGGCCUACACCAUAACCAUAGCAACGUGGGAUCCGAACUGCCUCUGUGGCAUACACCGCAGCUUGUGGCCACGCAGGAUCCUUAACCUGCUGAGCAAGGCGCAGGGAUGGAACCUGUGUCCUCAUGGAUACUAUUUGGGCUCUUAACCCUCUGUGCCACAACGGGAACUCCCCCUUUGGAUAUUCUUGAUCCUCCUGCGGUUUCACUGAGGCACCAGUGGGACCCUCACUCCUGCCGAGGAGCCAUCUGGUCCUGACGUCUCGUCUGGCGGAUUGAGCCCCAGGAACCAGGGUGCGCUGGCUGCCUAAAGGGCCUUUCCUUUCUGCCUGCCUUCCCGGCAGCCCCUGGCCAGGCACCAGCUAUGACCUCAGCCCACACUGACCCUUCGGUUCCCCCCUCACCCCCUCCCAGCCUGCUCCAGAUCCAGCCUCCGGCCCUGUCCAUGCUCCCAGAACACCCCGCGUGACUCGGUUCCUGUUCUGUCACAGCCCCUACUCCCUGCCCCAGAGGCACCCUGGGCUCCAGGCUGCCCACCCGCCACCCAGCCCUCUCCACACGUGUGAAAACCACACGCAUGGGCGCUCUGCAGCUCCCCGCAGGAAAGCCCAGCCGCAAGACCCAGAGCAGAGGAGAGGGGACACACACAAGCGUGCAGGCCAGUGCCAGGGUUUGGGGAUGGGGGGCGGGGAUCCAAUGGAACGACGGGCCUCCCGGAUGCUGUAUCAAGCCAAACUCCCCAGCAGAGUCAGCACCACAUCUGGAAUUAAGCUGGAAAUUCCAAUUGCUCUCUGCUGCUAAAAAAAAAAUGUGUCAAAUCUUCCCAGAGAUUUUGUGGAAGUGGGAAGCGCUGCGGGGCGGUGGAGGGGAGGGGGGAGCGCUCCCUCCACAGGACCCGUGAGCUUUGGGAAAAUCCAGAUGUCACAAUGUGUCCACAGCCCUCUGGCUGAUGGCUCCCCCAGCCUCCCUCAUCUGUGCUCCCUGCCCCGUGAAAAUUAAAGACGCCUGGAGCAGGGGAGGGGCUGUUUCGCUUCUCCCAAGGACCCACACGUCCGUUCAUGUAAGUGCAUGUGAGACUGUGACUUUUUUUGAUAGGGAUUGAGUUAUUUUUUCCUGGAGAGGAAAACGUUGACAUGCCUUUGGUGGAUCGUCCGCCCAGAAAUUUCCAAUGCAUGAAGAAGCUGUGCUCUUCCCUUUGCUCUAACACACACACACACACACACACACACACACACACACACACACACACGCACACACCUUCCAAAGGCCCAGAACUCACUGUGUGGUCUGAGCCCCUUCAGGGCCUCGCUGCACUGCUAGCCCAGCCCCAACCAGUGCGGGAUGGGGAUUCCAUAGAGCUGGGUCUGCAGGGCCAGGGAAGCUUGGACCACUUGCUUGUUCUCAAUCUCUAGGCAAGUGGAUGAAUUUCCUGUUACUGCUGUAACAAAUCACCACAAGCUGAGUGACUUCAACAACACAAAUAUAUUCUCUUACAAUUCUGGAAGUCGGAAGUCCAAAAUCAGCCUCGCUGGGCUAACGUCAAAGCAUCUCCAGGGGAAAAUCCAUUUCCUUGUCUUUUUUCACAUCUAGAGGCUACCUCUAUUCCUUGGCUUAUGGCCCCUCCCUUCUAUAGCAAGCAUCCUUCUCGGGUCCUUAGCCAGAACAUCAGAGGGUCUCUCUCCCCAAGCCUCUUCCCGUUCUGAUACUAACAUCCUAGGUCUCUGGGACCUUGGGGGAAAUGGGCCCGGCCCCUCCCCUCUCUCCUCUUUGCUGAGUCUCUGGGGCUCGUAUUGUCUCUUUUUGUCCUCUUCCUCCAGCCCAGGAGUCUGACAUCCCAGGCUGGGGCUUUUGCCCCUCAGUUUCAUUCUCAACAAGUGAAGAAUUCAUCCCAGCCCCAACUUAGUUUAGGAUCUGAAUUAUACUUUUCUCCAAGGCAGGGCUCUCGACUGCCCAGCUGUCAUGCGGGGGCCAAGGAUCCUGAUCCCGAUUCAAGGAUGUUGGGUGGGUAUCCAAGACGUCCAAAUGGAGGGGCAGGGAUGCGGGUACCCUUCCUGGCAGUGGUCCUUACCAGCCUGACCUCCCAGAGCUCAGGCCACCCGGUCACAGCGUGACAUUGAAAGUCCCUCGCCAGGGAGAGAGGGAUGAGGCUGACCCAGCCUGGGUAGUCCCAUGGGACCCAAUAGUACAGACUGGUGUCCUUGGUGGCCUCCCGAGUAAAGAGCCUCUUUGAGCCAGACCUUCCUUCUUCCUUUUCUUUCUUCCUUUCCCUCCCUUCCUUUUUGUCUGACCCAGUGCCUGGUCCUUUGUCAGGCACAGGAUAAGAGCUGGAAGGGCUCGGUCCCCCAGCCUGUGAGAAGCACUGCCCAUAGCCCCUCCCAAGCAGUGAGAGUUCCCAAGUGUGGAAGCCAAAUGGGGCUGCCCGAGGUGCCAGGAGGGCUUCCUGGGGCUGGUGGUGCUGCAUUUUCCACCCUCAAACACACUAAAACACUGAGCCACCCGCACACGCCAUGUGAGGGGAGGCAGCCACGCUUCGGCUCGUGCUCUUCCCACUGCUCGACAUCUUUCCACUUGCCUCUCCUGGAUAGCUCUGGCUCAGGUGCCACCUCUUCCAGGAAGCCUUCCCUGAAGUCUGGGGAGGUUGAAUCUCCUCCUUGAUUCUCCUAGCGCCCCACAGAGAGGCUCCUCGUGUCCAAGCCAGAAACUGAUUUUAUGCUGCAGUCAAGAGAAAGCCUCGGCCUUGGAGGGGCCUAGAGUGGGAGGGGGACAGUGUCUGGUGAAAUGGCACUGGGCUCUGCUGAGCCUGCUUUUUUUUGAGCCGAUGGGCCCUUACAGAUCCCCCAGUCCAUCGUCCUUUCCGGAUAGUGGUGCUGGGACCAGAAAACCCUUCUCCUGGUUUUAGCCCUCUGUCCUUCCCAUGACCCAUCCCAUCUUGAUGGGGGCUGUGUCCUGACCACCUCAGUGUCCGUGAGUGCUUGGUGAACCAACAUGCGGGGGUGCUCAUGGGGGAACUGAACCCGCCAGAGACAAGUGUUUCGGAGGCACAUGGCAUUGAUGUCACCAUUUGGUCACAUGCUGUCCUAACUCUCAAAGUGGAGCCUAGGUUUCACAUUAUCCCUUUAUGGCAGAGAUGCUAAGAGAAAGAUGGGUCUGAGUUCCAGCUUGGCCUCUUCUGAGCUGUGUGACCUCUUUGAGAAACAUCUGGAUCCGAGAUCCAGCUUGGCCUCUUCUGAGCUAUGUGACCUCUUUGAGCUCCCACAUCCUCAUCAGCAAAACGGGGACCCGCGCUGGACAGACCUUUGUUUUGAUGAUUAAAUAAGAUGACAUAUGCCAAGUUCCCAUUGUGGCACAGCGGAAAUGAAGCUGACUAGUGACCAUGGGGUUGCAGGUUUGAUCCCUGGCCUUGCUCAGUGGGUUGAGGAUCUGGCGUUGCCGUGAGCUUUGAUGUAGGUUGCAGACGUGGCUAGGAGCCAGUGUGGCUGUGGCUGUGGUGUAGGCCUGCAGCUGUAGCUCUGAUUCGAUUCCUAGCCUUGGAACUUCAUGUGCCAAGGGUAUGGCUGGCCCUAAAAAGCAGUAAAUAAAUAAAUAAGAUAACGUAUGAGAAGUCAGCAAUUCUCUGGCACAUAGAUAUGCAUCCGAAUAGUGGCUAAAUAUUCUCCUUCUUCACAAUUUCAUUCUAGGGGCUCAACCUUCUGGAAUCAGGAAAAUUGUCUGAUUAAGUGGAUUCAUGCUGAUUCCAGCCUCAGCUCUAUGCAAAGAGAUUCUGAUUCCCUAAGUCUGGGAAGAGUUCCCAAACUCAUUAUUUUAUUUGUCUUUAUUUUUAAAUAAACAUCCUGGGUGAUCCUGAUGCUUAGCCAGGUUUAGAAGCCACUGGAAUAAGUGAUGAUGGGGUUUUAUGUUCAUAAAGACCAACUUGUGUCCUCAAAAGUAGGGUUUUAGCUUAGAGGUACCUUCCCACGGCCCCUGGAACCACAGCAGGUGGGACCCUCUCUCUCCCCAUGGGGGGAGGGGGUGGCAUCCCUCCAGAGCAGCCCCACAGGAAGGGAUGGGGGCCGCGCCAGCUGUGUCCCCUCCUGCAGCUGUUUCAGUGCCAUAGCCCCGUGGAAACCACUGUGAAAUUCAUUCUCCACAUCUCCCGAAGUUGGGCCAGGUGGCUACUGGCUGGGGCAGCUGAUCCCACCCGACAAGAGGCCUGCGAGCCAGGGAAAUACAGCCACCCGCCUCCACUCAGCACAGGGCCCCCCGUUCCACCCUCCCGGGCCAGUAAGUGCUUUUUGUCCCAGAUCAACUCAAAUCCUCCCCCGGGAAAACUUUUCUUUCCUCAGGAAGCACCCAGCUCUUGCCUUGCUGCAGGUUCUCUCAGGGCUGUCUGGCUCUGGAACCUGGUCAGGACUGGAUCCCGCCUCCCAGGGACCCCUGAGGCCUGGGGCUGAGUUGGCUGCUCUGGGAAAAUGCAAGCGGAGGAGGGGGAAAGCUGCAGAUUCCACUCAUCCGCCCGAGAAUGGCAGCGGGCCGGAGCUCUCCCUGCAGCAGGGAGCUGAGCUUUUUAUGAGCUGCACGGAGCUACAGAAGCAGGGAUUUGGCUGAGGAAGAAGGGAAAGGCCCAGAAUGAGAGCACUGUCCUCCGUCAAGGACACAGGACUGUUGACGUGGGAGAGAUGGGCGCAGCCUCUGGAUCAAGUCCACGGGAAGGAGGAAAUGGUUUUCACUGAAAAACAAAGUUGAAAAACAGUUUACUGAAGGGACAAGAAGGAGGAAAGGGGGUGGGGAACCACCUCAAACUGUCUGAUCAUCAAAAUCACCUAGUCAGUUAAAAAUACAGAUUCCAGUCCUCGUUCCAAGUCAAUAAAAUAUUAUUCUUGGU